AAUCCACCUCUGCAUGUGAUCAUCUGCAUUUGACUCCUUGAACUAUGGCAGCCAGCUGGAGCCAUGAAGUAAGCCACCCUAACAUGAGUGGCAGAAACAUGGAGAGACAGGGUUUCACCAUAAUGGCCAGGCUGCUCUCCACCUCCUGGGCUCAAGCGAUCCACCCACCUCAGCCUCCCAAAAUGUUGGGAUUGCAGAUAUGAGCCAUAGUUCCCCUCCAUCAGCCCAAAUGUCAGUUCCUGGAGUACAAAGGCGGUGGCUGCUUCAGAUGCUUCAGACUGAAACUGCUCUUUGCCAUUCUCAUGGACACUGGAGAGUUAAGUUUGGUUAAAUUGAUGCCUUUUUCUUUUAAAAAAGAAAGAAUACACAUAUACCUUUGUGUACACACAAGCUAGGAAACAUCAAUCUAAUACAUGGAUGGCAAGAAAAACCAGAUCUGGCUCAUGCCAGUUACAAUGGUCUGUGAAGAUAAAAAGAUUUCUUCAGAUUUAUUUCUCAGCCAAUUUCUGCUUUUCCUAGGGAGAAAUUAAAAGUUUGUUAAAUACCUAUGUUUAGCCUUUUAUUAAUUUAGCCGGUGAAAUUAAAAGUACUGGUAGACUGUAAUUAAAUUAAGACAUUUUCGACCUUGAAUUAAUGCUGCCAUUGGAAAUGUUGACAUGUCUUAAUAGUUGGUCUGCAUGUUACAUUACCACCAUCUACUGUUCAUAAUGGUCAAUUUUUAAAUAAUGACUUUUAUUCUUAUUUCCCUCAGUGAAUCUUUUGUAAAUGUAAAUAUCACAUAUGCUUGUGACCACUAAUUUGAAUAUGGGGCCCAUGGUAUCCAACAUGGGUAGUAUUUCCCAAUUAGGGCUCCUUGGUACAUUAAUGCUAAUAAGAGUGUCCCGGGGGGCGGGAAAGAGGAGUUCAGUAGUCAAACUUGUUUUGGAAAUGCUGCUUGCUACAUCCAGGCUUAAAAAGUUACAAUUUACCCCAGCAAAUUUAAGGAUCUGAAGAGUUCUUCAGUAAAGAAACUGGUUCAAUGUUGUGGAACCCAGUGUUUUCCAAGCUUGUAUAAUCAUGGAAAUCUUUUUAGGUAAACCACCUAUUAAUAUUUUUCAAGACAUCAGAGUUUGGUGCUGUAGGGCUUUAGGUCAGAGGGUACUGGGCCUAUUCCAAAAACUCAUAGCUGCAAGUGUUUCAUUCUAUCAAAUGCCAACAAGAAAACUAGACAAUUUUACAACAUAAUUUCUGCUCAUAAAUAAUUUGCCACCAGGUUUACAGUUUUCUUAUACUACCUUCGAGAGACAUACGGUGGCAAGGUAACACUGUUGUCACUAUCACUUCACAGCAGUUAUUUCUGAAAGUGAAAAAUCAUCCUACCACUAGGCCUUAAUAACAAGUUUAUGGCAGAACUUCUCAAAUGUUGCCAGCAAAACACCCCUGAUAGUAAAGAAGGAUAAAUUCAAACCCCUGGAAUGAGACUGCUAAAAACAGCACAUUUCUGAAAUGUUAUGUUUUAUCUUAAAAAUUCAUGCAAGAAAUAGUGGCAUGUUUGUGAAAUGACAAAUGUUCAGGGUUAUCCACUGCAGUGAUAUUUUUAAUAAGAAAAGAUUUAAUAUAACUCAAAUGCGCAUGAACAGGAAAAUGGUUAAAUAAAUUAUACUACAACCACACCAUGGAACAUGCUAUUGAGCUGUUUAAAAAAAAAAGAAUGGGGAAAUGUUCUACACACUAACAUGGAAAUAUCUCCAAGAUAUUGUGUCAUAUGAAAAAAGCAAAAAAAAAAAAAACAAAAAAAACCAGAAGUGUAUAAUAUGCUAGCUUUUAUCAGAAAGGGGAAAAAUAAGACUCUGUAUUCUUAAGUUGCUAAUGUGUGCAUAAAGCAAUUCUAAAAGGAUCCAGAAGAAACUCUUAACAGUGGUUACCUUUUGGGGAAGAGGAUGAGAACUCAAAAAAGGGGAGAGAAGGAUGAGGAGAAACUCGAAACUUGAUCUUUUGAUGUUUUUUGAGCCAUGUGAAUGUGUAACCUAUCAAAAAUUAUAUUAUAAAGUCAAAAAUCAUGCAAAUGUUUUACUCUACUCCAUGACAUAUUCAAAUUUGUCUUAAGAGUUUAAGAAGCAGGGCAUAACUACUCUGGAGGCUGAGGAGGGAGGAUCAGUUGAAACCAGGAGUCUGAGACCAGGAGUUUGAGACCAGACUGGACAACAUUGAAACCCUGUAUCAAAAAAAAAUUUUCUUAAUAUAUAUUUUUAAAGGUUUUAAAAAUUACCCACAUAUUUUCACAACAGUACAACUAAAUCCAUAUUUAAACUCUGAUUGGUAGGUUAUCUGAGAUAUGUAGGGUCUUGUGUGAAAGGUAUGGGUUUAGGCCAUUUAAAAGUUGCUUAAACAUUUAGCCUUCAUUCCAUUUGGUAAACCAACAUCAAUACAAAAAAUGAUCUGGAAUCUCCACUAAAAAGUACUUGUUUGACAGUUUGGGAUUUUUAUCUACAGGCCGGGGUAUUUUAGACCUGGCAAAUAUUAACCCCAGGGUCCCAGGACUCAUGCUCAAAAUUAGUACUAACUUAUUUUGGAAGUAACUACGGAGAAAAUGCCACAACACUGAAAUGACAACCCAAAAUGUGGAGUGUCACAGAGUUAUGUGCACUCCUCAGUGCCAGAGUGUCCAACGGAAAGCCAACUGGUUGGGAGGCAAGAAACCUCAAAGGCAAACCUUCUGCUUUAUAAUCUAACGUAACUGGAAUUAAAACUCUCCAAGUAUUUUCAAAAUAUUUUUUAAAACUUGUUGAUUAUUUUUAAAAUUAAGUAGUCUGGCUUAAGCUAAACAAUUUUCCACUACAUUUCCCAAAUUUUAAAGAAGUAGGCUUCAUUUGGUUAUACUAAUUUUUUUUGGAGGCAGGGUCUCACUCUGUCGCCUAGGAUGGGAUGCUGUGGUGCAAUUCUAGUUCACUGCAGCCUUGACCACCUCAGGUGCUAAGGCAAUCCUCCCACCUCAGCCUUCCGAGUAGCUGGGACAGACUGCAGGCAUGCGCCACCAUGCCCACUAUUUAUUACUAUUUGUAAAGACAGAGUCUCCCAAUGUUGCCCAGUCUGGUCUGGAAUUCCUGGGUUCAAGCGAUCCUCCUGCCUCAGCCUCCCAAAGUGUUGGGAUUACAGGCAUGAGCCACCAUGCCUGGCCUUACUAUACUUUCAGAGAACUUUUACUAAAAUGCUUUCUAUAUAUGUGGAAAAUAUAUGGCAUUUUUAUAUGGUCUAAUAAAUAAAUAAAAUAUAACUCAGAUAUAACUGAUGAAACAAGCAAAUGCAAUAUGAUUAGUGUCAAUAAAAUGUACUAAAGGUUCCUGCAUUUUAUUCCAGAAGAUACUCUAGGUGUAAGUUUUAUGUCCUUGUCUACCUCCUAAGAAUGAUUUAAUAAACCAACGGUGUCAUAAAAGUCUCCUACAUUCUUUCAAAUUGAAAUUUUAUUUCUAGGUAUAAAUGAGGCCAGAAUUAAAAAGACAAACAGCAUGAAUAGAUGAACCGUGCAGCACGACCAGCAGGGAGUCAUUUGUUACUGCUUUCUUUGAUUCUGAUCCUGUCUCAGAAGGCUGUUCUCUGUGGAAUCCCUUCAGAGAAACAAACAGGCAGUGGGGACCGCAAGGGCUUAAAACUCUACUGCAAUCUCCUGAUGAUCUGUUGGAUAUUCAUAAGUGGCAAAAUGAUUCCACCUUUAGGUUUUAUUUCGUUGUAAUAAAGAAUUAUGAAUAAUUGAUCACUAGGUAAUAAAUUAUUCAGGUAGGCACACAGUUUCCAAGGAAUCCUGGAGUGAGUCUGGUUAAUGGCAAAGCAGGAGCUUGAGGCAGCUGCUGAGGGGACACCCCCCCAUUAACCUCACACUGCAAAGGCAUGGGUAGUUAGUGCCUCUCAGUGUGGGCUUUUCAAUAGGGGCCAUAUUAAUGCCUUUUGAUUUUUUUUUUUUUUUGGACUGAAACACCUGUUUUAUUUUCCCAAUCUAAACAAAAUUUCCUUGACGUUAGUGUUGUCACAAGCAACAACUUUUUUUAAAUUGUUUUUGUUAUUUAUAACAUGUAGUUAAAAGUAUUCAUAGAUAUAUAGUUUAAAAAACAAAAAAAUCCUCAGAAGAUCUCUACUUUUAGAAAAUGCAGUUUGAACAAUAUCUGGCAAAUUUGGAGGAUCAUAUAUUAUUGUUAUAAAUGAGGCAAUAUAGGAAAUAAAAACACAAAACUGACAUCUUGGUUCUGCAUAGUUUAUCUGACAAACUCUUGAAAUAGAUACCGUUUAGUAGAAAAUACACGUUUGACAACACUGAGUAACAUAUAUGGGCUAAAGUGGGCUUAACAUGCCACUGAUGGACACACAAAUUAAGCCGUUUGUGGGACAUAAGUACAAAUACCAAUUAAAGAAAUGACAAAUAAUUUUGUAAAUUGUCAUCUAAAAGCAAGAAGAGUCCCAAAAUAAAUGACGUAUAGAGUGACGAUACAAGUGGGCUAAGUCUUAGGAUAAAAUUUUCAUUCUUAAACUCCAUACCACUAGGACAUAUACUGCGUAACUACUGCUGUUUCACAGGACUAGCAACCGUCAAUCAUCUCUUUGCUAAUUGGUACAAAAACUGCACAGAAAUUAUGUAUCUGAAAUUGGGUCUCUAAAUUCGUCUCUAGAUUCUACAUAGAACAUAAUCAUGCUGAGUCCAUACCAUGAGGUCCAUUUGUUAUUCUACAUGGAUUUAUGCCUUUAAUCUACAUGGAAUGUAUAACCAGAGAAAAUUUAAAAUGUGUUUUAGAACCAAAAUACUAAACUAACGAAACUUUUAGCUAACUACAACCAAAAAGCAAUCAUUGUUAUUGUAUGUACUAUUAAUUAGAAAAGGCUAUACUAGUUCAAGCCUUAGGUUCGCGAAGUCAAAAUGGACACCAAGUCUUCCGUAGGCGGAGCAAGUCAGCAGGCAGCUAUCCUCCUUACAGUGCUUCUGUACACAGGUGCCAGCGUCUCAAUGCAAGAGCUCAGAAGAGAAGCUCCAAGGUCAGGAGGGCUCUACUCCUUAGGCUGAAGUGACAUGUAAAUGAUGCAUCAUUCCACUCAGAAAUUACUAGCCAGGACACUAGAAAAAGAAAUGGUGGAUAGGAGGCAGGACUAACUUGCAGCUCCCACUCAGACAGACAGAGCAGCGUGUGAAGACUCAUACAGAGAACUUUUGCUCCAAGAACUACCACAGGAACAUACCAGGAAAGCGAGAGGAUCCACAGAUCCUUUGAAGGAAGCGGAUUGCUGCUGCAGGCACCUGGAGACAGCCAAAACACUCUGAGUGCCCAAAGUGUGAAAGAGGGAUCAUCUGCCCCCAAACACACACCCUCACUGGGGAACCUGAAGGUCCAGAUCACAGAAGGAUCUGACCUUACCUGGAGCUGAGACAAAUUUAGAGAGCCAAGUGAAAUACAGGUGUAGAAGCAGCAGCAGGAAGAGCCCUGUGGGCACUCUUGGUCCCCAGCGAAGCCGUUUCUGACUUUGUCUCACAGGGGUCCUUGGAGAGGGCUGCCAGAGGAACUGGGAAAAGACCACAGGGAGAAGGAAACUUCCAGCUGAACUUUGUAACCAUUUUGACCAAACGCAGUUUCCUGGACAGAACCUGGGGGAGGGGGCGAAUAGGGAGUGCAGACACAGCACAGAAGCUGCGGCAGGUGGGGAAACACAGAACCUGAAAGUCCUGCAUGCUUUCUCAGCGGGGAGGCUGGUGGCCUGGGGAAAGUUCCCAGCUCUGUUCACCCGCUGCCUGGAAAUAAACUCAGUGCUAUUGAGAGGGCACGGUAGGAGUAACACUGGCCUUUUGGGAUACGUGGGAGCUGCAUGAGGCCUGUAACUGCCAGUUUUCUCCCACUUCCCUGGUGACCUGCAUGAUGCAGCAGAGGCAGCCAUAAUACCCCUGGAAACAUAAUCCCACUGGCCUGAGAACCACACCCACAUACCCCAC
rnacentral:lncRNA from 1 species